GACGAACGCUGGCGGCGUGCUUAACACAUGCAAGUCGAACGGAGUGGCGAACGGGUGAGUAACACGUGGGUGACCUGCCCUGCACUUCGGGAUAAGCCUGGGAAACUGGGUCUAAUACCGGAUAGUGUGGGAUGGGCCCGCGGCCUAUCAGCUUGUUGGUGGGGUAAUGGCCUACCAAGGCGGCAACGGGUAGCCGGCCGGAGCGGGUGGACGGCCACAUUGGGACUGAGACACGUCCCAGACUCCUACGGGAGGCAGCAGUGGGAAAUAUUGCACAGUGGGCGGAAGCCUGAUGCAGCGACGCCGCGUGGGGGAUGACGGCCUUCGGGUUGUAAACUCCUUUCACCAUCGACGCGGUAUCUAACCAGAAAGCCACGGCUAACUACGUGCCAGCAGCCGCGGUAAUAC
rnacentral:rRNA from 1 species